rnacentral:piRNA from 1 species
UGAAGGGGCCUUAGGGAAACUGUCGU